rnacentral:siRNA from 1 species
CGGAUACACCCAAUAGUCUCUGG